UCCGGUGACGUAACGGACCCGCGCCGGAAGAAAUGCGUGCGCCACGCGUCGCGCUUCCGGGCACUGCAUCCCCGGCAAGUGGGUCGUGGAGGCGGUGGCGGUAGGGGCGACAGGGAAGUGCCUUUUUAAACACAAAUGGGUGAUGAAAAGGAAUCUUGGAAAGUGAAAACGUUAGAUGAAAUUCUUCAGGAGAAGAAACGUCGCAAGGAGCAAGAGGAGAAAGCAGACACAAAGCGCCUCAAAAAUUCUGAUGAUCGGGACUCGAAGCGCGAUUCCCUUGAAGAGGGAGAGCUGAGAGAUCACCGCAUGGAGAUAACUAUCCGGAAUUCACCUUACAGGAGGGAAGACUCUAUGGAAGACCGGGGAGAAGAGGACGACUCCCUGGCAAUCAAACCCCCCCAGCAAAUGUCACGGAAGGAGAGAGCACACCACAGAAAAGACGAGAAGAGGAAAGAGAAGCGGCGUCAUCGCAGUCACUCGGCAGAAGGGAAGCAUGCUAGGGUGAAAGAGAAGGAGCGCGAGCAUGAACGUAGGAAAAGGCACCGCGAAGAGCAGGAUAAGGCCCGCCGUGAAUGGGAGAGGCAGAAAAGGAGGGAAUUGGCUAGGGAGCAUUCCCGGAGAGAGAGGGACCGCCUGGAGCAGCUUGAGCGGAAGAGGGAGCGAGAGAGGAAAAUGAGAGAGCAGCAGAAAGAGCAGCGGGAGAUCAAGGAACGGGAGAGGCGAGCGGAGGAGAGGCGUAAAGAACGGGAGGCCAGACGAGAGAUUUCAGCACACCACAGGACUGUGAGAGAAGACUACAACGAGAAAGUAAGGAUCUGGAGCCGCAGCCCGCUACGACAACAGAGAGAAAAGCUUGAACAAGGAGAAAUCCGAAAGCCAGUGAAAGAAGAAAAGCCAGAAGAGAGAGACCCCCUUUCUGAUCUACAGGACAUCAGUGACAGCGAAAGAAAAACCAGCUCAGCAGAAACAUCCUCAGGGGAAUCUGGAUCCGGUUCGGAGGAGGAAGAGGAGGAGGAGGAGGAAGAAGAGGAGGAGGAGUCCAGCAGUGAAGAGUCAGAAGAAGAGGAAGAGGAGGAGGAAGAGGAGGAGGAGGAGACAGGAAGCAACUCUGAAGAAGUGACAGAGCAGUCAGCUGAAGAGGUGAGCGAAGACGAAAUGAGCGAAGAAGAAGAGCGGGAGAACGGAGACCACCUCCCAGUGGUUGCAGAGUCAAGGUUUGACCGGGAUUCCGUGGGGAGCGAAGGAGAGGAAGAAGACGCUGGCGAGGGGACCCCGCAAUCCAACACGAUGACGGAGGGCGACUACCUACCUGACUCACCUGUGUCAUCACCUGUGGAGCUGAAGCAAGAGUUGCCCAAGUAUCUACCCGCCCUUCAGGGCUGUCGUAGCGUUGAGGAAUUUCAGUGUCUAAACCGGAUCGAGGAGGGAACAUACGGAGUGGUGUACCGAGCAAAAGACAAAAAAACAGAUGAGAUUGUGGCGCUGAAGCGGCUGAAGAUGGAGAAGGAGAAAGAAGGUUUCCCCAUUACUUCUCUAAGGGAGAUCAACACCAUCUUGAAAGCCCAGCACCCAAAUAUCGUCACUGUCAGGGAAAUUGUCGUCGGCAGCAACAUGGACAAGAUAUAUAUUGUAAUGAAUUACGUGGAGCACGAUCUCAAGAGCCUCAUGGAAACAAUGAAACAGCCAUUCUUGCCAGGGGAAGUGAAAACCUUGAUGAUUCAACUGUUGCGAGGGGUCAAGCAUCUUCACGAUAACUGGAUUCUUCAUCGAGACUUGAAAACCUCCAACCUGCUAUUGAGCCACGCUGGCAUCUUAAAAGUUGGAGACUUUGGGCUGGCCCGAGAGUACGGAUCGCCUCUGAAGCCGUAUACCCCUGUCGUCGUGACAUUGUGGUACAGGGCGCCUGAGCUGCUACUUGGAGCCAAGGAAUAUUCCACAGCCGUCGACAUGUGGUCCGUGGGUUGCAUAUUCGGAGAGCUGUUAACCCAGAAGCCGCUGUUUCCAGGGAAGUCGGAUAUUGACCAAAUUAACAAAGUUUUCAAGGAUCUGGGAACCCCCAGUGAGAAAAUCUGGCCUGGGUAUAACGAGCUGCCGGCAGUGAAGAAGAUGACGUUCACAGAAUAUCCUUACAACAACCUCCGCAAGCGGUUUGGGGCACUCCUCUCAGACCAGGGAUUUGAUCUCAUGAAUAAGUUCCUGACGUACUACCCGGGCAGAAGGAUCACCGCUGAAGACGGCUUGAAGCACGAGUAUUUCCAGGAGACGCCGCUGCCCAUCGAACCGUCCAUGUUUCCGACGUGGCCAGCAAAAAGUGAACAGCAGCGAGUGAAACGUGGGACGAGUCCACGGCCGCCAGAGGGGGGCCUAGGAUACAGUCAGCUGGGUGACGACGACCUGAAGGACACCGGCUUCCAUCUUACGACCACAAACCAAGGGGCAUCAGCCGCGGGACCAGGCUUCAGUUUGAAGUUCUAAAGCGUAAGGCGAAGCAGUGCAGGAAGGAGACGGGGAGAAGCCAGAGGGGAAGCGAACACUUUGCUUUUCUGCUCAAGCUGUUGGCAAGCGUGUCGACAAGCGCUCUCCGUGCAAAUCCACUCCUCUCAGGGGGAGGGGUGUGUGUUUGUUUUUUGCAGGAUGUCACCUGCAUAUGUGAAAAACGUUCUUCCUGGAUCUGGCACAAAAAGUCACUGCGAUUCCAUUUUAAGGAUUGGAAUUAAUCUGAAUAGCCAAGGACUCUUUUUUGCAAAAAGAAGAGAAGGCAAAACAAGAAAACAAAAUCCCAACGAACUUGAAUGGUAUUUAAACAGAGAGAGUGGGAUGGCAGCUGACUCGCUCGCAGAGUACAUUUCUGUCAUAUUUUCAUUUAUGCCGCCCCCAUGGACUAGAAUAUCAUCAGGUACCCUCUUUUCUUUUUGUCUCUUCCUGUGGAUCCAAGUUUGUUCUCCAGGUACCUCUGUUGCCUUCCAAGAUCUGACGAGAACCAGAUCUGAUCAGUGUUUAAAACGCCCAUUUUAAAGCAGAGAUGAGCAUGCGGCCUUCCAGAUGUUGUUGGAAUUCAACUCCCAUCAUCUUGACUGUUGGGCUGUACUGGCUGGGGCUGAUGGGUCUCACAGCAGUUGGAGGGCCGAUGGUUGCCCCCACCCCCUGUUCACCAUCACAGUUGGAAAAACUAGAUGACUCCCCCCCCCAACCAGAAGCCUGCCAUUCUUAGAAUCUCCUUAUCCACAACACAUCCAACCCACCUUGGUUGAAACAUGUAUGGGAUGCACUUUAAAUGUACAGUGUAGAUUUGCCCUAAGACUGUGUGAAAUUGAUUUUCCAGGCUGUCGGCGUGCAAAGAAAUUGGGUGCAGAGUUCUGCAUCUUGAAAAUCUCAGGGAUAACUGCUUCCAUUCGAAAACACCAGCUGUGUGAGAGUUUCUAGUCCUUGUGACGGUGGAAAUAACGCUUGGAAGUAGGUUGGCCAAUGUCUACUGAAAUUGCAUGUGGCAGAAUAAGGUGGCCGGAACCUAGAAACUUGCAGCAGAACAAACCCAGCUCAGCCUUGCCUACUCAGACUGGCAGUUGCCUUCUAAGAUCUCAGGCUGUGACCUUAACCUUGGGACUUUAGGGGAGAGGCAGGUAAGAAAUCUGAUUCAUAAUAAUGAACAAGGAUGAUACUAUUUGAGCAUAUCUAUGCAUGCACUCUUGACAUGUGCUGUAUGCGCAUGCUCCACUGUGAUGUGGCCAAUUUUUUUGGUCACAUGAAGCUCGUGGUCAGAAUCAGGUUCAUAUUCCUCCUUUAACUUUUAUUUUUGUACGUUCACCAAGCAAGGCAUUUUGUUUUGAUCCUGAAGUGUUGUGCUGGGUGUGAAACCAGCAGAGGGGAGCGUGGGGUUUUUUUUUGGUACUUUUGCGGAAGAAAUAUAAUCAUGACUUGUACAUAGUGUGUUCAUGUAACGUCAAUGGUUUUGCUACUCUGCUGGAAAAUGUACAGAUAUUUAUACUUGUGUACAGCUCAAAUGUUUUUUGGGACUUCGCAACAUUCCGUUGGACGUGUUGAAAUAUGUAAAUGCACAAAUUCAGACUGUGUGUGUGUGUAGAAGCCAGCCUACUGCACCCAAAGGUAAUAUUUACAUUCAUAGCUCCACCCACUUUUGUCUUUGGCCCCACCCACCUCUGGCAGGUGGCCCUUUGGCAGAAAAGGGUUGCCCACUGGGUGCUCUAGGGAUGUCCUCGUAAACUGGCCAUUGUAGUCAGAGUAGGCCCAUUGAAAUCAAUAGACCUCAGGCUGGUUAAUUUUAGUGGGUCUACUCUGAUUAGGGCCACACCCAUACCACACACCUUCCCCCAAAGAAUCCUGGGAACUGCUGUUUCUUAAGGCUGCUGGGAACUGUAGUUCUUGGGGCAGGGAGAAGCCAUAUACUCAAAAUGUGUGUUAGAUUUGUGGUAUGGAUGCGACCUGGGACUUGUUCGCUUGUUUGUUUGUAAGUUGCUUUGGGUUGGGGCUAAUAAAUAAAAACGUUAGAUACAA